UAAUGACAAGUUAUAAAAAAUUUUAAAGAAGUAUAAAAUGUAUAUCCUCUGUAGGCUGUCACCUUGUGAGAGCCCACAAAUUUCAUUAUUUCCCAAGAAACUAAAAUGGACUCUGAUUAAGAUAUCCCUGUGAAAUCAAGAUAUUUAACAUUUAAAUAGUUUGAAUAUAAUAAGGGAUAUUGUUGAAGACUACAUAUGAGCUAAUACUUUUUCCUGAAACUGCAAUGGGACUAAUUGGCAUAUCCAAAAAUUUUCCUUUCCUUUAAAGAAAUUAUAUUUAGUCUCUCCAUGAGACUCAGCAAAUAAAAUAAGAAUGUCCGAGGAUGUUACAUUAUAAAAACAUUGCUCUAAACUUUGCUUUUUGUUAAUAUGUAGCAGAAAAAUGGCAAUGGUAAUGCCAAGCUGUCCUUUUCUGAGUUUAAUACUUUCUAAAUCCCACAUGAUUAUUUUAUACAGAAAGGAGGAAGUGCUAAAUAAUUUAUGAACUUUAUAGAUACAAGUGAAAACAGUAGAUGAUACAGGAAGGGAAAAUACACAUAAAACGUUUAUUUGUACUUAAAAUGUAGGUAUUGCAAUGGGAAUGAUCUCUAAAAAAUCUAAUUGCAAAUUUCUAAUUUAUCUAAUUGUGUAGCUUGAAUCAUUUAAAAUAGAUAAGUUAUUAUACAUUAAAAUUUAUCUAGAUUUUCUGUAAAUUUUUGUUAUAACCUUUUGCUUUUCAUCUGUUACUUCCUUUUUUUUUUUUCCUUUUUUUUUUUUUGAAACAGUCUCGUUCUGUCACCCAGGCUGGAGUGCAGUGGCGCGAUCUCAGCUCACUGCAACUUCCGCCUCCCGGGUUCAAGCGAUUCUCCUGCCUCAGCCUCCAAAGUAGCUGGGACUAUAGGCGCCUGCCACCACGGCCAGCUAAUUUUUCGUAUUUUUAGUAGAGAUGAGGUUUUACCUUGUUAACCAGGAUGGUCUUAAUCUCCUGACCUCGUGAUCCGCCCACCUCAGCCUCUCAAAGUGCUGGGAUUACAGGUGUGAGCCACCAUGCCCAGCCUCAUCUGUUAUUGCUAAGCCAUGUGUAUUGAAUCCAAAUUUCACCUUGCAGAAUUUAUAAUUAUUUAUUAAUAGGAAUGUAUAGUAACUAAGUAUAUAAAAGUAGACACUUCUGAAAUGAAAAGGGGGCACUACCAAUAGUUAUAUAGGGCCAACAGCACAACAGUGGUCCAGGAAAUCAGAAUAUAUGAUCACUCUUGCAUGAUUAAAAUUAGAUAAAAGUGGAUAGCAUAAUUCAAAAUAAACUGGAGAAGUAUACAUUCCUGAAAUCUAUAAACUUUAAAAUGAAUUACUUGUGAGGAAAGGUCUCCUUCUGCCUUGAUCAGAGGAUAAGAUAGUGUAUCAGAUGUCUUAGCUAAAACUUAUCUCUUGCCUUAUUCUUUUGAGUAGUUUAGUCUUUAGAAGUCAUUGGGAAACGCAUGGCAAUCUUUAGUUGAUUAUGUAAUCUUGGAGAAUUUGAAUGUGCAAGAGUUGUGACAUUGUCUUGGUAUCUAAGGGGGUAUCUUGAACAUUGUUACAUUAGGCAAAUAUGAGAAUGUUUUAUAAAAUAGUUAUCAGUACUUUGUUAUUGAAUAGAAGGCCUUUCUGAGAAAAAUUUCUGGGUUUAUUUUUUCACUUUGAAAAAUGACUUUAAAAAUAAGGGAUUUUUUUAAUUUUUAAAAACUGGAGUUAGUUCUCAUUACCCUUAAAAAAUACUUUCUUUUGUAUACACUUAUUAAAUAUCCCACUGACAUUAUAAGUUCUGAAUAUAAGCGGUUUUGAAUUUAAAUACCUGUUUGUGAUCAAGACUUCAUCUGGAUAAUAGUUUAUAGUAUUUCAGACUGGAAACGUUUCCAAGUUUGGUAGGAGGAGUAGCCUCUACUGUUUAGAGUAGUUGGGGCAGGGCAUGCCUUAUACAGCUUUUGCGGUUUGUGCAGUAUACAACAGCAUAACAUGUUGGGGGUGAUGUUCAUUCACAUCAUAGAUUUGUAUAUUAUCACAGUUUUUUUUAGCAGGUGUUGGUAAAGUUUCUUGUUCUAACAAAAUCAAUAUAUUAUGUCACAUUUCUGACAGUUAAGAACCUUAAGGAAGGAGCUUUUUUUUGUUUGUUUCUUGCACAAUGGCACAAGUUUGGCUAGAGGGGAGAUUCUGUCUUUGUGCAAAUUAUUAGAGUUCCAUCCUAGGAAUCCUAAUGAUGUAAUAAUAUUUAAAUGGCAUUAGAAGCAUUUUAUAUAUUAUAGGUACUCCAAAAAAUCAUCUUACUUGGAAAAUCUAAUGAGAGUUUUUGGGUGCUUUAUCAGUGACCGUCAUCAUUUAGAUGUUCUGUGUUAUCUAAUUUGCCUUUUAUACUUAUUGAUGUUGUUUCUUUUUUUUUUUUGAGACAGAGUCUCGCUCUGUCGCCCAGGCUGGAGUGCAGUGGUGCAGUCUUGGCUCACUGCAAGCUCCACGUCCCGGGAUCACACUAUUAUAUUCUCCUGCCUCAGCUUCCCGAGUAGCUGGGACUACAGGCGCCUGCCACCACACCUGGCUAAUUUUUUUGUAUUUUUAGUAGAGAUGGGGUUUCACCGUGUUAGUCAGGAUGGUCUCGAUCUCCUGACUUCGUGAUCUGCCCGCCUUGGCCUCCCAAAGUGCUGGGAUUACAGACAUGAGCCACCGCACCUGGCUUAUGUUGUUUCUUAAAAUGAAAAUAUAGUUUUUAAAGCAUUAUGGAGAAUUUAACCUUCCACUGGUCUGAUCAAACAAUAUACAAGUAGCAUCUGCAUCAGCCAUCUAUACCAUUUUCUUUUUAUGAUUUCGAAGAAAUUAUUAUUCAAGAAAUCUGUCCAUUUAGCUAGUACUUAAAACCUGAUGUCCACUACUAAAAAUGUUUUAUGUGUGGAUCAAAUAAUUUAUUUUAAUAUUAGUCUUGAAUAGAAAAAUAUACUAAUAUAGUUUUUUUUCACAUUUGCUGUUUGUCUCUUCUUCCACCUCAAAACUCAUUUUUAACAUAGUUCAGAAAGUUAUCUUAUAAUUGCUAAAUAAGAACAUGAUGAUGUAUUUAACAGUUUGGAUUUUUCUCCAGGUAAAGAUCAGGUUUCCACUGAUGUUUAACAGGGCUUGUACUGUGUUAAAUACUUAGCUAUUCUGAAUUAUGAUUCAAGGCUAAAAGGUAUAAAUAGCCUUCAAAUAAUGUACUUUGAACUUGAAUUAUAUUGUUGAUUAUUUCGACUUUAUAAAAAUGGCCAUUUUAGUAAGUCAUUCUGUAUUGUUAUUCAAUGGAAAUAAUGUAUUUGUAAAUGUUCUGCCAUAGAGUCUUUGAAAAGAUUUCUAAUGCUGUGUGUAACUGAAGCUGGACCUGAAGUCAGUCUUUGCAGUGUCAUGAAACCAUAAAAAUGUGGAACUGAGAGAAAUGACUUUUUACUAUUAUGAAAUUCUUCUGGAGAACUUUGAAACAGCAAAUGGCAUGUAGAAGCACCUCCCGUGACUGCGGAAUAAAGGACAUCUUGGGGCAAGUGAGAACAUUGAUUGCCUUUAUAGAGACUAAAAUGUUAACAUUGAAGAUUCAUGGAUGAACCUAGAUUUGAGAUCCAUCAGAGAAUGGAGGUCACAGAGCAAACUGAAGCCCCCCAAAUUGGAGAAAGACACGUGGAUACAGAGAAUCACAACUUACUGGGAACAAGCAGAAACCUCCGUGGGAACCAAGGGCAGAGUAGGAAAAACCUAAGCUAUAAUUGAUAAACUGCUGGAAGCUCAAUGUGAACAAAUCUGAGAGUUAACUUGUUGUGGGGGAAGGUGAUGGAUAUGUUAAUUUGAUUGUAGUAAUUAUCACACAAUAUAUGUAUAUUAAAUCAUGUACACUUUGAAUAUAUUCGGUCUUGACGAAUACUUUAAAAACAAAACCUUGGAGGGGUAUCAAAAAUGGAUCCCCUCUCUUUUCUGAGUUUUAUCUCUAGGAGCCCUACCAGGUUCUCAUAGUGAAGAUUGAGAAGAAAAAAACCAAAAUCUCAUGUUUCCAGCAUGGGGAGAGGAAAAGGAACCAUUUUGAAAUACACCAGAGCAUUCUGUAUUUCUUAACAAAGCCUGGCCUCAAGAGAAAUUAUUUUACCAGAGCCUAACCUCCUGCCUACCCAAUUCAGGGAAAGGGAAAUACCCAACUUUAGACACCUCUAGCUUUCCAUGUGGGAGAAGGGAAAUCUCCAGUUCUAUACUUCUUAUCUGACUUAAUUGGGAGUGGGGGAAGGGAAGCUAAGAAGCAUUUGUUUAGGUCACAGCACAGAAGCACUAGCUCACUAAAAGACUGAGACCUAAUCCUAGGACUAUAGAAUGCUUCCCCUCCCCACCACACCUUAGCACUACAUCACUAAAGGCCUAUUUACCUCAGUUCCUUUUAACCAGCACAUUGUGGUUAGCUUUCAACAAAAAAAUUACAAGGCAUACUAAAAAGAUAAAAGCACCAUUUGAAGACACAGAGCAACCAUCAGAAGCAGACUCAGAUAUGACAGAUGCUGGAAUUAUCAGACCAGGAAUUUUAAAUAAGUAGGAUUAAUAUGCUAAGGGCUCUAAUGGAAAAAGUAGACAGCAUGUAGGAAUAGGUAGGUAAUAUUAGCAGAGAGAGAAAUUCUACAAAAGAAUUACAAAUGCUGGAAAUAACACUAACAAUAAAGAAUGAUUGGCUAGUACACUGGGCACAGCUGAGGAAGGAAGCUUGAAGAUAAUAUGUCAGUAGAAACUUCCCAAAUAAAAAGCAAAGAGGAGAAAAAACUAACUGGAACCAAAUAUCCAAAAACUGUGGGACAACUACAAAAGAUGUAAUAUACAUUUAAUGAGAAGACCAGAAGAAUAAAGGGAAAGAAGCAAGUAUUUGAGGAGUAACGACUAAGAAUUCACAAGAUUAAUGUCAACCUGCAAGGCUGUUUAAACACCAGACAAUCAGUUUAACAGGCUAAGAAGAAAAAUCGUAUAUCAAUAGAUGCAGAAAAAGCAUUUGACAAAAUCUAGCACUCCUUCGUUACAACUCUGAGCAAACUAGGAACAGAGUAGAACUUACUUAACUUGAUAAAGAACAUCUACCUGAAACCCACAGCUAACAUUAUAUUUACUGGUAAAAAAAAACUUGAAGCUUUCCUACGAAGACCAAGAACAAGGGAAGGAUGUUCUCCCUCACAGUUUCUUUUCAUUAUCUUACUGGAAGUGAUAGCUAAUGCAAUAAGACAAGGAAAGGAAGUAAAAGUCAUACAGACUGGGAAGGAAGGAAUAAAACCCUUUGUUUGCAGAUGACAUGAUUGUCUAUGGAAAAUUCAAAGGAAUUGGCAAAAACAACUGAUGAUAGCAAGUGAUUAUAGCAAGGUUGCAUAAUACAAGGUUUAUAUACAAAAGUAAAUUGCUUUCUGAUACAGAACAAAGAAUAAUUGGAAUUUGAAAUUAAAAACAUAAUACCAUUUACAUUAGUACCUCUCUCCCAAAAUGAAAUACUUUGUUAUCAAUGAAACAAAAUAUAAAACACACAUGAGGAAAAAUACAGAUCUCUAAUGAUAGAAAUAAGAAUAAA